GGGGGACGCGAAGUAACCCCGGCAUCACAACUCAGCCAGCGACACAACCAUCAACAACAUGAUCUCUGCCAAGGUCUUCGUGGUGGCCGCCCUAGUGGCUGUGGCCUGCGCCGCCCCCCGCCCCGACACCCCCCAGUCCUACGGGCCUCCUCCUACCCAUACCUACAAGGAGCCAGGUAUGCCCUUCGACUUCGCCUACGCCGUCAAGGACGACUACACAGGCAACGACUUCGCCCACGACGAGAAGAGCGACGGCACCGUGACCUCCGGCUCCUACAGGGUGCUCCUGCCCGACGGCCGCACCCAGAUCGUCACCUUCAACGCCGACCACACCAACGGCUACGUUGCUGAAGUCGCCUACGAGGGAGAGGCCUCCUACCCCGCCCCCGCACCCCCCUCCUACGGGCCACCCGCACCAGCCCCCUACGGGCCACCCGCCCCCUACGCCUAAGCCCCAACACAACCCGAGGACCACUCUACACGCCCCACGCCCUCCACCCUCACCCUCUACUAGUGCCACCUCUUCUCCUCAACUCUUGUAAUCUCCACUCGUCACUUGUUUGUAUGCCGGCUGGAUAUAUCCCAGCCUGCACUCGACUUAUCCCAGCUUAUCCCAAGUUGCGACAGGUCAGCUUGGCAGUGUCCCAGAGUGGGGCGGACGGUCCUGCCCUCCAUGAUGUAACUUAAUGUAUUAUCUUGCCAUAACUUAAGGUCCUCUGGCGGCCGCCACAAGGACUUACAGUGGUUGUAAAUUAUUUUUGUAAAUAAAGACAUUUACGAUCACAAAACAA